GCCCCUGUUGUCUAAUGGCUAUGACGUCAGACUUCUAAGCCCAACUCAGUUAGAAUUGAAGAGGCAACAUGAAUCUGGAGGUUGCGAGUUCGACCCUCGCCAGGGGUU